rnacentral:rRNA from 1 species
UACGAAGGGGGCUAGCGUUGUUCGGAAUUACUGGGCGUAAAGCGCGCGUAGGCGGUUUUGCAAGCCAGAGGUGAAAUGCCUGAGCUCAACUUAGGAAUUGCCUUUGGGACUGCGAGGCUUUGAGGACUGGAGAGGUGAGUGGAAUUCCCAGUGUAGAGGUGAAAUUCGUAGAUAUUGGGAAGAACACCGGUGGCGAAGGCUGCUCACUGGCCAGUUUCUGACGCUGCAGCGCGAAAGCGUGGGGAUCAAACAGG